CAGGUGAGGUAAUUACUGUAUACUGACCAGUCCAGGUGAGGUAAUUACUGUAUACUGACCAGUCCAGGACUGUAGUAACCAGGUGAGGUAAUUACUGUAUACUGACCAGUCCAGGACUGUAGUAACCAGGUGAGGUAAUUACUGUAUACUGACCAGUCCAGGACUGUAGUAACCAGGUGAGGUAAUUACUGUAUACUGACCAGUCCAGGACUGUGGUAACCAGGUGAGGUAAUUACUGUAUACUGACCAGUCCA